rnacentral:rRNA from 1 species
GAGUUUGAUCAUGGCUCAAGACGAACGCUGGCGGCGCGCCUAACACAUGCAAGUCGAACGAGAGAGAAGGAGCUUGCUUCUUCGAUCGAGUGGCGAACGGGUGAGUAACGCGUGAGGAACCUGCCUCAAAGAGGGGGACAACAGUUGGAAACGACUGCUAAUACCGCAUAAGCCCACGGGUCGGCAUCGAUCUGAGGGAAAAGGAGCAAAUCCGCUUUGAGAUGGCCUCGCGUCCGAUUAGCUAGUUGGUGAGGUAACGGCCACCAAGGCGACGAUCGGUAGCCGGACUGAGAGGUUGAACGGCCACAUUGGGACUGAGACACGGCCCAGACUCCUACGGGAGCA